rnacentral:rRNA from 1 species
CAGGUACUCGAGUGGCGAACGGGUGAGUAACACGUGGGUGAUCUGCCCUGCACUUCGGGAUAAGCUUGGGAAACUGGGUCUAAUACCGGAUAGGAACCAUCUUUAGUGUGGUGGUUGGAAAGUUUUUUCGGUGUAGGAUGAGCUCGCGGCCUAUCAGCUUGCUGGUGGGGUAAUGGCCUACCAAGGCGGCGACGGGUAGCCGGCCUGAGAGGGUGUACGGCCACAUUGGGACUGAGAUACGGCCCAGACUCCUACGGGAGGCAGCAGUGGGGAAUAUUGCACAAUGGGCGCAAGCCUGAUGCAGCGACGCCGCGUGGGGGAUGAAGGCCUUCGGGUUGUAAACUCCUUUCGCUAGGGACGAAGCUUUUUGUGACGGUACCUAGAUAAGAAGCACCGGCUAACUACGUGCCAGCAGCCGCGGUAAUACGUAGGGUGCGAGCGUUGUCCGGAAUUACUGGGCGUAAAGGGCUCGUAGGUGGUUUGUCGCGUCGUCUGUGAAAUUCUGGGGCUUAACUCCGGGCGUGCAGGCGAUACGGGCAUAACUUGAGUGCUGUAGGGGUAACUGGAAUUCCUGGUGUAGCGGUGAAAUGCGCAGAUAUCAGGAGGACACCGAUGGCGAAGGCAGGUUACUGGGCAGUUACUGACGCUGAGGAGCGAAAGC